AGUAACACGUAGGUAAUCUACCUUUGAGUGGGGAAUAACUUAGGGAAACUUAAGCUAAUACCGCAUAAUGCAGCGGCAUCGCAAGAUGACAGUUGUUAAAGGAGCAAUCCGCUUAAAGAGGAGCCUGCGGCAGAUUAGGUAGUUGGUAAGGUAAUGGCUUACCAAGCCUACGAUCUGUAGCCGACCUGAGAGGGUGGUCGGUCACACUGACACUGAAUAACGGGUCAG
rnacentral:rRNA from 1 species